rnacentral:rRNA from 1 species
UGAGGAAUAUUGGUCAAUGGACGAGAGUCUGAACCAGCCAAGUAGCGUGAAGGAUGACUGCGCUAUGGGUUGUAAACUUCUUUUAUAUGGGAAUAAAACGUUCCACGUGUGGGAUUUUGUAUGUACCAUAUGAAUAAGGAUCGGCUAACUCCGUGCC